UUUAUGAGAAGCUAAGAAAAAAACAAUCUCUCUUCACUUUGUCAGAAAAUCACUCUAUCUAACGAGACAUAAAAAACUUCAAUCUUACCUAGACAUCUACUAUAAAUUUGUCAAAUGCUCAACGAUAAAAAUUUACCUGUAUAUAAUACCUGUAUUUAUAACAGGAUGAAAGUUUUAGUGCUUUGUUUCGUAUUUUCCUUCCUCAUCUUGCAACUCGCAUUGGCCUAUAACGAAAAAAAAUGUGAUGAUGCGCCAAGUGAAGUGGGUCCUUGCAAGGCUUCAUUUCAAAUGUGGCGCUAUAUAAAGGAAAUCAACGCAUGUGAGGAAUUUAUCUAUGGCGGCUGCCGAGGGACACGAAAUUUAUUUGAUAGCGAAAAGGAUUGCAUUAAACAAUGCCUGAGUUAGGCUACAAAACUGGGGGGGAAACUGAAUUCAAAAUUCGACAUUUCACUAGCGAUACGAGACAAAAAGUUAAUCUAAAAGUUGCCAGACUGCAAAUGCAAAAAGUUGGCCGAAUGCGAAAAAAUAUGAUUUGUCUGCAAAGUUAAAACAGAUUCUCAGCAAGAAUCUUUUCGCAUUUAAAUUAACUACCGGUGAUUUAUGGAUGAUAGAGUUUAAGAAAUUUCGAUUUACAUUGUGUUCAUACAUAUAUAUUUUUUCUUUUGGUUUUUCGCAAUAAAUUCUCUGUUUUCACUGCUGAUGGGCCAGAACCAAUCGAAAACAGUUAAAGAA